CCUACGGGGGGCAGCAGUGAGGAAUAUUGGUCAAUGGGCUUACGCCUGAACCAGCCAAGUCGCGUGAGUGAAGACUGCCCUAUGGGUUGUAAACCUCUUUUGUCAGGGAGCAAUUGGCGCUACGUGUAGCGUUAUCGAGAGUACCUGAAGAAAAAGCAUCGACUAACUCCGUGCCAGCAGCCGCGGUAAUACGGAGGAUGCGAGCGUUAUCCGGAUUUAUUGGGUUUAAAGGGUGCGUAGGCGGAAUGCCAAGUCAGCGGUAAAAUCGCGGGGCUCAACCGCGCUCCGCAGUUGAAACUGGCGUGCUUGAGUGGGCGAGAGGGAGGCAGAAUGCGUGGUGUAGCGGUGAAAUGCAUAGAGAUCACGAAGAACUCUGAUGGCGAAGGCAGCAUCCCGGAG
rnacentral:rRNA from 1 species